rfam:Anas platyrhynchos breed Pekin duck contig23329, whole genome shotgun sequence.
CCCGUGGCUCUUUUCAGAGCCACCCACUUUUUCAUUUGAAAGGCUU